AACGAACGCUGGCGGCGUGCCUAACACAUGCAAGUCGUGCGAGAAAGUUCCUUCGGGAGCGAGUAAAGCGGCGCACGGGUGAGUAACACGUAGGUAACCUGCCCCCCAGUCUGGAACAACUAGAGGAAACUCUAGCUAAUGCCGGAUGAGACCACGAUCCCUUCGGGGGUUGCGGCCAAAGAUGGCCUCUACUUGUAAGCUAUCGCUGAGGGAUGGGCCUGCGGGCCAUUAGCUUGUUGGUGAGGUAACGGCUCACCAAGGCUGUGAUGGCUAGCUGGUCUGAGAGGAUGACCAGCCACACUGGAACUGAGACACGGUCCAGACUCCUACGGAAGGCAGCAGUAAAGAAUAUUGGACAAUGGGCGCAAGCCUGAUCCAGCCAUGCCGCGUGGGUGAAGAAGGCCUCGGUUGUAAGACCUUUGUCCGAAGAAAAGACACUGGAUUAAUAC
rnacentral:rRNA from 1 species